AGAGUUUGAUUAUGGCUCAGGACGAACGCUGGCGGUGCGCCUUAUGCAUGCAAGUCGAGCGAAGCUUUUCAGUAGUUUACUACAGAAAAUGACUGAGCGGCGAACGGGUGAGUAACGCGUGAGCAAUCUACCUUAGUUACAGGGAUAGCCCGAGGAAACUCGGAUUAAUACCUGAUAUUCUUUAUUUCUCGCAUGAGAAUAAAAGGAAAGGUCAGCCGAACUAAGAUGAGCUCGCGUUCUAUCAGCUUGUUGGUGAGGUAAAAGCUUACCAAGGCUACGACGGAUAGCUGGUCUGAGAGGACGAUCAGCCACACUGGGACUGAGACACGGCCCAGACUCCUACGGGAGGCUGCAGCAGGGAAUAUUGUGCAAUGAACGAAAGUUUGACACAGCGACACCGCGUGUGGGAUGACGGAUCUAGGUUUGUAAACCACUUUCAGGAGGGAAGAAAAUGACGGUACCUCCACAAGAAGCCCCGGCCAACUACGUGCCAGCCGCCGCGGUAAUU
rnacentral:rRNA from 1 species